AUACUAUCUGGUGCGCUCUA
rnacentral:misc_RNA from 1 species